rnacentral:rRNA from 1 species
AUUGAACGCUGGCGGCCGGCCUAACACAUGCAAGUCGAACGAUUGGCGGACGGGUGAGUCAUGUCUGGGAAACUGCCUGAUGGAGGGGGAUAACUACUGGAAAAGGUAUCUAAUACCGCAUACCAUCAGAUGUGCCCAGAUGGGGUUAGCUAGUCGGUGGGGUAAUGGCUCACCAAGGCGACGAUCCCUAGCUGGUCUGAGAGGAUGACCAGCCACACUGGAACGGAGACACUGUCCAGACUCAUACGUGAGGCAGCAGUGGGGAAUAGUGCACAAUGGGCGGAAGCCUGAUGCAGCCAUGCCGCGUGUAUGAAGAAGGCCUUCGGGUUGUAAAGUACUUUCAGCGAGGAGGCGUUACCCGCAGAAGAAGCACCGGAGAACUCCGUGCCAGCAGCCGCGGUAAUUC